GCGCUGGUGGUGCAAUUGCAGCACGCUCGACUUCCGGUCGAGAAGUCCAGGUGCAAGUCCUGGCCGGCGCUCCA
rnacentral:tRNA from 2 species